rnacentral:rRNA from 1 species
UCUAGGGGGUGUAGCAAUACAUCACCGGCGGACGGGUGCGUAACGCGUGGGAAUAUACCUAUUGGUUCGGAACAACUGAGGGAAACUUCAGCUAAUACCGAAUGUGCCCUUACGGGGAAAGAUUUAUCGCCAAUGGAUUAGCCCGCGUAGGAUUAGCUAGUUGGUGGGGUAAUGGCCCACCAAGGCUCCGAUCCUUAGCUGUUCUGAGAGGAAGAUCAGCCACACUGGGACUGAGACACGGCCCAGACUCCUACGGGAGGCAGCAGUUGGGAAUCUUGGACAAUGGGGGAAACCCUGAUCCAGCCAUGCCGCGUGAGUGAUGAAGGCCUUCGGGUUGUAAAACUCUUUCGACGGGGACGAUAAUGACGGUACCCGUAGAAGAAGCUCCGGCUAACUUCGUGCCAGCAGCCGCGGUAAUACGAAGGGGGCUAGCGUUGUUCGGAAUUACUGGGCGUAAAGCGCGCGCAGGCGGUCUUCCAAGUCAGUGGUGAAAGCCCGGAGCCUCAACUCCGGAACUGCCAUUGAAACUGUUAGACUUGAGGACGAGAGAGGUGAGUGGAAUUCCCAGUGUAGAGGUUAAAUUCGUAGAUAUUGGGAAGAACACCGGUGGCGAAAGCGGCUCACUGGCUCGUAAUCUGACGCCUCAGGCGC